rnacentral:rRNA from 1 species
UACGUAGGGGGCAAGCGUUGUCCGGAAUUAUUGGGCGUAAAGAGCGCGUAGGCGGUCCGGUAAGUCGGUUGUGAAAGUCGGGGGCUCAACCCUCGAAUGCCGGUGGAUACUGUCGGGCUAGAGUGCGGAAGAGGCGAGUGGAAUUCCUGGCGUAGCGGUGAAAUGCGCAGAUAUCAGGAGGAACACCAAUUGCGAAGGCAGCUCGCUGGGACGUAACUGACGCUGAGACGCGAAAGCGUGGGGAGCAAACAGG